rnacentral:rRNA from 1 species
GAUGAACGCUGGCGGCGUGCCUAAUACAUGCAAGUCGAGCGAACAGACGAGGAGCUUGCGCCUCUGACGUUAGCGGCGGACGGGUGAGUAACACGUGUAUAACCUACCUAUAAGACUGGGAUAACUUCGGGAAACCGGAGCUAAUACCGGAUAAUAUAUUGAACCGCAUGGUUCAAUAGUGAAAGACGGUUUUGCUGUCACUUAUAGAUGGAUCCGCGCCGCAUUAGCUAGUUGGUAAGGUAACGGCUUACCAAGGCAACGAUGCGUAGCCGACCUGAGAGGGUGAUCGGCCACACUGGAACUGAGACACGGUCCAGACGCCUACGGGAGGCAGCAGUAGGGAAUCUUCCGCAAUGGGCGAAAGCUUGACGGAGCAACGCCGCGUGAGUGAUGAAGGUCUUCGGAUCGUAAAACUCUGUUAUUAGGGAAGAACAAAUGUGUAAGUAACUAUGCACGUCUUGACGGUACCUAAUCAGAAAGCCACGGCUAACUACGUG